GAUGAACGCUAGCGGGAGGCUUAACACAUGCAAGUCGAGGGGCAUCACGAGGUAGCAAUACUUUGGUGGCGACCGGCGCACGGGUGAGUAACGCGUAUGCAACCUACCCUGUACAGGGGGAUAGCCCGGAGAAAUUCGGAUUAAUACCCCAUAAUGAUAUUUUAUGGCAUCAUAAAAUAUUUAAAGCUCAGGCGGUACGGGAUGGGCAUGCGUAACAUUAGCUAGUUGGUAGGGUAAUGGCCUACCAAGGCGACGAUGUUUAGGGGUCCUGAGAGGGUGAUCCCCCACACUGGAACUGAGACACGGACCAGACUCCUACGGGAGGCAGCAGUGAGGAAUAUUGGUCAAUGGGCGCGAGCCUGAACCAGCCAUCCCGCGUGGAGGAAGACUGCCCUAUGGGUUGUAAACUUCCUUUCCAGGGGAAUAAAAUCUCGAACGAGUUCGGGACUGAAGGUACCCUGGGAAUAAGCAUCGGCUAACUCCGUGCCAGCCGCCGCAGUAA
rnacentral:rRNA from 1 species